rnacentral:rRNA from 1 species
UUGGAAGUUAAAAANUCGUAACAAGGUUUCCGUAGGUGAACCUGCGGAAGGAUCAUUAAACAACUAGGCCGUAACAAGCCUUGAACCCUUCUCUACGCGCACCUUUACCUUCUCCUUCGGCGGGUCAGCGCCCGCCGUCGGAACCAACAAAACCCCCUUUUGCAUCUAGCAUACCACCCGUUCCGAUACAAAACACAAUCGUUACAACUUUCAACAAUGGAUCUCUUGGCUCUGGCAUCGAUGAAGAACGCAGCGAAAUGCGAUAAGUAGUGUGAAUUGCAGAAUUCAGUGAAUCAUCGAAUCUUUGAACGCACAUUGCGCCCCUUGGUAUUCCAUGGGGCAUGCCUGUUCGAGCGUCAUCUACACCCUCAAGCUCUGCUUGGUGUUGGGCGUCUGUCCCCGCCUCCGCGCGCGGACUCGCCCCAAAUCCAUUGGCAGCGUCCCCUCGCCCCCCUCUCGCGCAGCACGAAUGCGCAUGACGAGGGAGCGGCUUUUGGGAUCGCGACCCACCCCCAAGAUGACCACCGUCUUUGACCUCGGAUCAGGUAGGGAUACCCGCUGAACUUAAGCAUAUCAUAAGGCGGGGA